rnacentral:rRNA from 1 species
AAGGAUCAUUAACUAUAUGAGGGGAGGGCUGGGCUUCGGCCUGCCCCUCUCUGACUAUUCUACCCGUGUCUUUUGCGUACUAUUUGUUUCCUCGGUGGGCUUGCCCGCCGAUAGGACACUAUAAAAACCUUUUGUAAUUGCAGUCAGCGUCAGUAAAAACUUAAUAGUUACAACUUUCAACAACGGAUCUCUUGGUUCUGGCAUCGAUGAAGAACGCAGCGAAAUGCGAUAAGUAGUGUGAAUUGCAGAAUUCAGUGAAUCAUCGAAUCUUUGAACGCACAUUGCGCCCCUUGGUAUUCCAUGGGGCAUGCCUGUUCGAGCGUCAUUUGUACCCUCAAGCUUUGCUUGGUGUUGGGCGUCUUGUCCCGCGUUUGCGUGUGGACUCGCCUUAAAGCGAUUGGCAGCCGGCAUAUUGGCCUUGGAGCGCAGCACAAUUUGCGUUUCUAGUCAUGAAUGUUGGCGUCCAUUAAGCCUAUAACAUUUGCUCUUGACCUCGGAUCAGGUAGGGAUACCCGCUGAACUUAA